rnacentral:lncRNA from 1 species
AUUCUUCAUCAGAGCAAAACAAAGAGGGAUCGUCCAACUCGGAUGACAGCAGUACUAGCCAGUCUGGCACUUCAUCUGAGAAAAACAAAGAGGAAUCCUCAAACUCAGAUAACAGCAAUGAUUCUAACCAGUCUGACACUUCAUCUGAGCAAAACAAAGAGGAAUCCUCAAACUCAGGUAACGGCAAUGAUGCUAGCCGGUCUGACACUUCAUCUGAGCAAAACAAAGAGGGAUCCUCUAACUCAGAUAACAGCAAUGAUAGCUUGUCUGACACUUCAUCUGAGCAAAACAAAGNUCAUCUGAGCAAAACAAAGAGGGAUCCUCUAACUCAGAUAACAGCAAUGAUAGCUUGUCUGACACUUCAUCUGAGCAAAACAAAGAGGGAUCCUCAAACUCAGAUAACAGCAAUGAUGCUAGCCAGUCUCAAACUUCUUCUGAGCAAAACAAAAAUGAAACCUCAAACUCAGAUGACGGCAGUGAUUCUAACGAGAAUGCCUCUAAACCCAACGAAAAUCAAAAUGACAAUGGGAAUCAUAAUGGUGAAGCACAAGACAAUGCUUCGGGUUCAUCCAUUCCG